GGAUUGCCUGCCUUUACAAUAUCUAUCUAUGUUAUGUAAUUUGCAGGACCCGGAGUUUCCCUGUUGACAAGGCAAAGCCAGGGUCCAACAUGUGAUAUGUGCCGUGGAAUGGACCACUCCUUCACACUGAGGGCUGAGAAUGUGCGUCAUUGUCUUGGUUGGCUGAUCAACAUGACAGAGACAAGCAGUUAUACAACAUCUGCGCAGAUGUGAUCAUGAGGCCUAAUAGAUUGGCAACAGCCACAAGCAUCUUCAGCCUCAUCUCUUCAUCAGUGGAGGAGGAGGAGAAGAAGAAGAAGAAGAAGAGAGCCCGUGCGUGUCCUGGUGAAAGCCUCGCAUGUGUGUAAAGUUGUGUAACAGGGUCGUCGAGACGUUCGCCCCUCUCUAUCACUUUGGAGAUGUUCUCCUGCAUCACAUCGAUCACCUCAUCGACCUGCGACUGCACCCUGAGGACGCAGAUUGGUCACAAACAACAGGCCCGAGUCAUAAAUCACAAAAGUUGCCAGGCAAUAAAAAGCCUGUCAAAUAGCUUUCAGCCUCACUGUGACCUGCCUGCACCGGCUGAGUAUCUCCAGAAUUCUGUUCAAAUCCUGUUUUAUUCAGGUGACUCAUGCCAGAGUGUGGCAUGACAACACAUUACCCUUCAGUCACUCAUAUUUCAAAGCAAUGAAGCCAUGAAAGGAGCGUGGAGAAACAACUCUGGGUGCCAGACUGCCUCAACAAUGACCUCUUCUGUUCUCUGCCUGUCUGUGACUGGAGGUCCAAACCUGGGUCCUGUGGGCCCUCUCCUGGAAAACAGACGUUGACGAAGCCAAAAUUACCAAUUUAAUGAAGGAUGGGAAACAUGAAGGGAGCUGUUAGCUAUUAUCAGAGGACAGGAGGUUGGGCACUAAAGGGGAAGCAUGGGAUCGCCAGCCUGACAGUUUUCGACUAUCCCCUGCUCCCUGAUGAUGGUGUGAGGCAAAAUCCCUCCAAGCACCAGCUCUCCCUCCAUCUGGGUCUCACCCUCUCACUGCGAAUAGAUCCCGUGACCUCGUCAUCGUUGAGGUGUCGUUUAAACUUGGGGGGCAUGUUGGCUUCAGGCUGCUCCUCCCGAUCUGGCUCCCUCUGCAGGACAGGAGGAGAAGAAGUUUAGCAACAGUCACACACCUGCUCUGAGCAACAAUGGUCCUGCUGAUAAUAAUAUUGGUAUGUGGAAGUAAGUAAUUUGAAUUGCAGGCAUAACCACAGCCAGGUCUUGCCUGAGAGCAGAACACAGAGAACAAAGGAAGAAGUGUUUGAGCUGAGUGAGACUCUAAAUCUAAACUCUACUCAUGACAAUAAAAUUCACUGGCUUAGUAAUGAUUUCAUAAAGAAGACUGGUCAUCAUCGAGCGAUCUGAGGAAGAUUCUAUCCCCAGCUCUUCCUGUUAAAGAGGCUGACUUUGUUAUUAGUCACAGAGCUGAUUUCUUUCAUUUCCUCUGCAGCCUAAUUUUCAAAUGGAACAUUUUAAUAAAGUGGCUCUUUUAUUGUGCCUGCUCUCUUUAAAGUAACAGCUUAAUACCUUCUCAGUAAACAAAACUUUAGAGCAUAUUAAGAUAUCCUAUUAAGAUGUCUUAAUUUGUAAUAUUUCUGCUGUGAGCAGUCAGUAAGGCUCACUAGCUAUGAAAGGAAAUGUCAUCAUUGCUGUGUGUGCCUUUGGAUGAAAAUGUCUAUGAUGUCGGAUGUGGAAAACACACUG